UCGGUUGGUGUUCUGAGUUCCCUGGCGUCCUGUGCAGGGAGGUUGUUGUUCUGGCGGUUAGGACUGCCCCGUGUUGAGUGGGCCGCACACAUGAGCCAGGGGCAUCAUGGCUGUAGUUGUUGCGGUGGACUCAUGGACGUCGCUGGGCGUGCCACACUCAGGAAGAGGGGAAGGAACCAUGUCCAGAAAAGGUGGAAAGACUAUGUCCAGUGGACAGAGGAUGCCUAGGACUCAUUUUGCUAUUUCAAAGUUCCUUUGUGAAAGAACUUUGGAAGUGAUGCAACUCCAGAAGAAUCUUUGGAUCUUUCUUUUAAAAACGUGUGACAACAAAAUGAGGAGCUUGAACUGAUUAUUGAUUUGACAUGUAUGAAGCACUCCUAUAAAGCAAAGGCGGCAAAGUUGAGAAAACCUAUUUCUACAAUCUACUGCAUCCUAGAUACAUGGCCAUUAUGGAUUUCUAGGAAGGUGAGUGAAAAGGCUGAACUUCCAAGUGCCUCAGAAAGGACCAUAAGCCUCAUCAUCUCUAUGUUCUGACUGCUGACAUGGCCUUUAUUUCUUCUUUGAUGUGUACACAGAACACAUGCCCUCUACGUGGGCAGGACCAUAUUUCCUCCAAGCAAUAAGAUGUUAGUUUAAAAAUUCCAGUUGUAAAAUGGGAACAUGAGAAAAAUGCUAAGUCAUUGAUUUGCCCUCCAUGAGGCCCUCUUUCCUGAGGGUACCACAAAGGGGGCAUAAAUUCUUCUCCAACCUCUGGUCACAGCUGACUGGAUGUUGAGACCAUGGAAUUUAGUGUCAACCUGACUGGAGCAUUAUUUCUGGAUGCAGCCAUGAGGAAUUUCUAAGAAAACUGGUGUGUAUGUGGGUGCCUGGGCUCUGUGGACAAGGUCUACUUUCAACAUAGGUGGACAGCAUGCAGCCAGUCUGGAGCUGCAUGGGACAGACAAGCAGAGAAGAAGAAAUUUCCCCUGUGUCUCUCCUGGAACAGACAUACUUCUUCCCUGUCUUUAGACAUUGGAACUCCAAGUCCUCUAGGCUCUGGGUUCUAGGUUGUGGACUUGUCCUCGAACCUCAGAUCUCUGGUCUCAGACUGAGACUCACAGAAGUGGCUUCCCUGGUCUGUGUUUUUGAGACAUUGUCGGAGCCAAACUACCAGUAUUGCAGAGCUUCCCACCUACAGAAAGCCUGUUGUGGGAAUGCUCAGCCGUAUAGGCCAAUCCCUCUAAGAGCUGUUGGCCCAGAGGAACUUCACUUAGAUUCCAAAAGAUGCUGUGGCCAGCCUCAGUGCCAACACAGAGACUGUCUCAAGAGAAGAUCUCCACAGAACGUCUACUCUCAGGCAAAGUGUAGGAGUACGUCAGUGGGAGCCCGUAGGUAACUCUAUGGUGACCAGUGUGCAUCUGCAGCCUGGAAAAGCUGCAGUCCUGAGACUGAGCCUAGCAAAGCCAUAGUAGACAGAGUUCUGCGCUUAAUUGGAACUAGUCACCUCCUUGCCUGUUUCUCCCUUCUGAAUGGAACUGAACAUUUUUCUCCUGAACCUCCAUUGAUUUUGCCAGUGUUUAGACUGCCCAGUGCACAGGCUCACAGCCAAAGCAUGUUGACUCUACCUGUAUCUGGAAAUGUGUGGAUUGCUGACUUCACAGGCUCCCAGAUGAAAUGAGGACCACCUCUACAUGAGAAUUGUUCUUUGAUAUUUAUCUGGCCUUGUUAGUGUGGUACUCUUUAUAGCCAGAUUGGCUGGUGCUGAUAUGCUGGAGGCCACCUCCUUUAGAAUGACACUUGCCCAUCCUGAAAGGGUGAUGCCAGUGUGUUGGGGGCCACAUCUUUUUAAAUGGUGCUGUACCUAGUCCAAGUUACACCUUCACAGGCAUCUUCUACACCAUGCACCAGUAGUGGAUUGUUGGGGUGUUUUCUAUAUAGGGAACUUCAGUCUUAGUGGAUGAUCAUAAUGUGAUGAAGUCUACCUCUUCACAGGGAUUUUCUGCAUCAGCUGCCACCAGCCUAGUUGGAUCAGAGUCCACCUUGAUGAAAUUCCUAGACAGUUUAAAUUUUUUCAGUUCAUACCAGAGGUGCACUUCCUCUUCUUUCUUCUUCUGCAGAGAAAAAGAAAAAUACUUAGGCUUAUAGUUCAUAUCUCAAAAAAGGUCUCAGCAUGGUUAUGAACCAAAGUGAACCAAAGUGUAGUUUUGCUCUGGUCUGAUUUGCUAGCACAUAAUCCAUGCUCUCCUGCAUACCCCAAGAGCUAUGGAGCACAGUUACCACACCCUUACUGAAUUAUGAUAUAGCUGUCUUUAGGACCAGUGAAGUCUCAAUAUUUCCAAUACCCCACUGCAUGUGUGCGUGUGCGUGUGUGUGCAUGCAUGUUAGUGUGGAGCUCAGUUAUCAGUCUUUUGUUGUGGACUACAUCAGUUUUGGGGGGAGAGUCUUUUAUUGGUAUUGAAACUUACCCACUUGGUAAUGCUUACUGGCCAGCAUACACCAAGGAUCAGCCUGUCUCUUCCAUCCCAGUGCUGGGAUUACAAGUGUGCACCACCUUCCUGCUUUAUUUUUAUCAUUAUUAUCAUCAUUAUUGCUGAUACUUGUGUUCAGGGCCUGGAGCUCAGGUCCUUGUGCUUGCCUGACAAGCACUUUAUGGCCUGAGGAUCUCUCAGACCUGCACUUUACUCUUUCCUGAAGUCUUGAUGCACCUUCAUUGUCUGUAUCUGAUAACCUGUCAUCCACAGUUCCAUUCUGUAGCUUUGCCGACAUUGUAUAUUCUGUAUCCCAGGCAAGGCUGACAGUAAAUGUUACACCCGCU